rnacentral:rRNA from 1 species
CUGCGAGGAUAUUAUCGUAAAAUGGGGGUACCAGGGCUGUCGCUGACUUUGUCGUGCACGCCCAGUGCUCUCACAUAUCCAUCUCACCCUUUGUGCAUCACCGCGUGGGUCCCCCUCGGAGGGGGCUCACGUUUUAACACAAACGUAUAGAAUGUUCUUUGCGUCAUCAUGCGCAUCAAUACAACUUUCAACAACGGAUCUCUUGGCUCUCGCAUCGAUGAAGAACGCAGCGAAAUGCGAUACGUAAUGUGAAUUGCAGAAUUCAGUGAAUCAUCGAAUCUUUGAACGCACCUUGCGCCCCUUGGCAUUCCGAGGGGCACACCCGUUUGAGUGUCGUGACAUCCUCAACCUGCUUGGUUUCGAAGUAGGCUUGGAAUUUGGAGGUUUCUGCUGGCUUCCUCCGAAGCCAGCUCCUCUUAAAUCUAUCAGUGGGAUCCGCUUUGCUGAUCCUCGACGUGAUAGAUGUUUCUACGUCUUGGGUUUCGCUCGGCCUGCUUCUAACCGUCCCAGGGACAAUGUUCGAUCGCCCGACCCAUCUUGACCUCAAUCGGGUGAGACUACCCGCUGAUAAGCAUAUCA